CCUCCUCGAUUUGCUGGGGGCAGAUGAAAUGGAUGUGGGCGUCGAUCCCGCCUGCGGUAACGAUGGUUUUUUCGCCGGCAAUCGCUUCGGUGCCGGGGCCGAUAACAAUGUCGACGCCUGGCUGCACAUCCGGGUUGCCGGCUUUGCCGAUGCCGCUGAUGCGACCGUUUUUGAUGCCGAUGUCUGCUUUGACGAUGCCCCAGUGGUCAAGGAUAAGCGCAUUGGUGAUCACCACAUCCACGCUGUCGGCGCAGCUGUGCUGACUUUGCCCCAUUCCGUCGCGG
rnacentral:sRNA from 1 species